rnacentral:rRNA from 1 species
UUAUAUUCUGUAGCAAGGUUAACCGUAUAGGGGAGCCGCAGGGAAACCGAGUCUUAACUGGGCGUUAAGUUGCAGGGUAUAGACCCGAAACCCGGUGAUCUAGCCAUGGGCAGGUUGAAGGUUGGGUAACACUAACUGGAGGACCGAACCGACUAAUGUUGAAAAAUUAGCGGAUGACUUGUGGCUGGGGGUGAAAGGCCAAUCAAACCGGGAGAUAGCUGGUUCUCCCCGAAAGCUAUUUAGGUAGCGCCUCGUGAACUCAUCUUCGGGGGUAGAGCACUGUUUCGGCUAGGGGGUCAUCCCGACUUACCAACCCGAUGCAAACUACGAAUACCGAAGAAUGUUAUCACGGGAGACACACGGCGGGUGCUAACGUCCGUCGUGAAGAGGGAAACAACCCAGACCGCCAGCUAAGGUCCCAAAGUCAUGGUUAAGUGGGAAACGAUGUGGGAAGGCACAGACAGCCAGGAUGUUGGCUUAGAAGCAGCCAUCAUUUAAAGAAAGCGUAAUAGCUCACUGGUCGAGUCGGCCUGCGCGGAAGAUGUAACGGGGCUAAACCAUGCACCGAAGCUGCGGCAGCGACACUAUGUGUUGUUGGGUAGGGGAGCGUUCUGUAAGCCUGCGAAGGUGUGCUGUGAGGCAUGCUGGAGGUAUCAGAAGUGCGAAUGCUGACAUAAGUAACGAUAAAGCGGGUGAAAAGCCCGCUCGCCGGAAGACCAAGGGUUCCUGUCCAACGUUAAUCGGGGCAGGGUGAGUCGACCCCUAAGGCGAGGCCGAAAGGCGUAGUCGAUGGGAAACAGGUUAAUAUUCCUGUACUUGGUGUUACUGCGAAGGGGGGACGGAGAAGGCUAUGUUAGCCGGGCGACGGUUGUCCCGGUUUAAGCAUGUAGGCUGGUUGUCCAGGCAAAUCCGGAUAAUCAAGGCUGAGGUGUGAUGACGAGGCACUACGGUGCUGAAGUAACAAAUGCCCUGCUUCCAGGAAAAGCCUCUAAGCAUCAGGUAACAUCAAAUCGUACCCCAAACCGACACAGGUGGUCAGGUAGAGAAUACCAAGGCGCUUGAGAGAACUCGGGUGAAGGAACUAGGCAAAAUGGUGCCGUAACUUCGGGAGAAGGCACGCUGGUGUGUAGGUGAAGUCCCUGCGGAUGGAGCUGAGACCAGUCGAAGAUACCAGCUGGCUGCAACUGUUUAUUAAAAACACAGCACUGUGCAAACACGAAAGUGGACGUAUACGGUGUGACGCCUGCCCGGUGCCGGAAGGUUAAUUGAUGGGGUUAUCCGUAAGGAGAAGCUCUUGAUCGAAGCCCCGGUAAACGGCGGCCGUAACUAUAACGGUCCUAAGGUAGCGAAAUUCCUUGUCGGGUAAGUUCCGACCUGCACGAAUGGCGUAAUGAUGGCCAGGCUGUCUCCACCCGAGACUCAGUGAAAUUGAACUCGCUGUGAAGAUGCAGUGUACCCGCGGCAAGACGGAAAGACCCCGUGAACCUUUACUAUAGCUUGACACUGAACA